CAUAAUCAACAGCUAGCAGAAUCCCCACAUUGGCUCCCUGACCUGUGGAGUCAGGGUUAUUAUGGUGGGAAAGGCCAAAUGGAAGCCAUUAGAACUGCCACUUCCUAGGAAAACAGUACACCAAAAGUAAUACCACAAUCCAGGAGUCUCUGCAGAGAUCAAUACCACCACUAAGGACUGGAAAGAUAUUCCAAUACAACUAAGCUAUUUGGCCUGUGCAGAAGACAGACCUUGGAGAACAACAGCAGAUUACAAGCUUAAGCAGCUGCCUCUGGACUGGAACUACACCAUCAGCUCUUCUGAGUGUCCAGCUUGCCUACUGAAGAUAUUGGCUCUUAAGACUUGUUAACCGACAUAAACAUAAUAAGGGUCAUGUGAGCACACAGCAAGACGACAGCCACCUAUGAGCCCAGAGAAGACUGCAGGCAUAGGGAUCAGGCAGAAGAAACUCCCAUCUAUGCCCCCUGAGAUCCUGAAAGGGCCCAAAAGCAGUUCUAGCUUCUUCACAGCCACAGUCUGCCAACAGUCCUAAGGGCCCAGGGCCCCAGUGGGGGACACUCUUGUCUACAACCCUAGUAUUUCUAAAAGGACACUCUACUUGGCUCUAUCCCUAACAACUGCACUCUGUGAAUAUACUUUCUGGCACAGGGACCCAAAAUGAGACUCUCCCAGCUGUAACCCCAGAAAUCCUGAAGGGCCUUACACUUGGCUCCAGUCAUAUCACAGCCACAGCCCACCACUAGAUCCAUCAACCAAGGAACCAAUCUCCUGCAUUCCCAAAAAUUCUGAAAGGGAUCUAUACUCAGUUUCAGCAACUCCAAGCCUCAGUCCUCAAGCUGUCCUGCCAGCUUUUGGGGAACCAAGAGCAGAUGCUCAUGUCUACACAUCAAGAGAUCCUGAACUAGCCCUAUAUUCAGCUCCCAGCCCAUCCAGCCAGUUAGGGACCCAUCCUGGCCACCCAGGGAUCCAUCCAGUGAACAGAGAGCAGUAUUCUCAGGUAUCUGAUGGGAGCCACACCAGUCCAUGCACCUAGUAAUAGGCCUGGUGUCUGAAGACCCAACUGUGGACUCUGAAGCAGACCCUUGUCUCAAGGCCACCUUACCUCCUGAACAAGGUACUACUACAGGAAGUUCAAUCCACUCAGAGACCAGUCACGAUUUAUGCCCACCCAAGCUCCUGAUAACAGGCCCACCAAUCACAGACCCCACUGUGGAGACAGACUUGUAACCAGCUCCAACCCAGCCUAAAAUUCCAAGGUAAUCCCAUCAAUACUGAAAACAGACAGGAGGUCUUUACCUGAUGAAACCAGUAUGUAAAGACUAGAAGAGGGGCGCCUGGGUGGCUCGGUCGGUUAAGCGUCCAACUUCGGCUCAGGUCACGAUCUCACACUCCGUGAGUU